rnacentral:rRNA from 1 species
GGCUCGAGGAUGAACGCUAGCGGCAGGCCUAACACAUGCAAGUCGAGGGUAGGAGCAGCUUGCUGCUUUGAGACCGGCGCACGGGUGCGUAACGCGUAUGCAAUCUACCUUGUACAGGGGAUAGCCCAGAGAAAUUUGGAUUAAUACCCAUAGUGUUUAAGAGUGCAUCUACUUUUUUACUAAAGUUUAGGCGGUACAAGAUGAGCAUGCGUCCCAUUAGCUAGUUGGUAUGGUAACGGCAUACCAAGGCUACGAUGGGUAGGGGUCCUGAGAGGGAGAUCCCCCACACUGGUACUGAGACACGGACCAGACUCCUACGGGAGGCAGCAGUGAGGAAUAUUGGUCAAUGGUCGGAAGACUGAACCAGCCAUGCCGCGUGCAGGAAGACGGUCCUAUGGAUUGUAAACUGCUUUUAUACAGGAAGAAACCCUCUCACGAGUGGGAGCUUGACGGUACUGUAUGAAUAAGCAUCGGCUAACUCCGUG